UACGUAGGUGGCAAGCGUUGUUCGGAAUUACUGGGCGUAAAGGGCGCGUAGGCGGCCUGCUAAGUCGAACGUGAAAUCCCCGAGCUCAACUCGGGAACUGCGUCCGAUACUGGCAGGCUUGAAUCCGGGAGAGGGAUGCGGAAUUCCAGGUGUAGCGGUGAAAUGCGUAGAUAUCUGGAGGAACACCGGUGGCGAAGGCGGCAUCCUGGACCGGCAUUGACGCUGAGGCGCGAAAGCCAGGGGAGCAAACGGG
rnacentral:rRNA from 1 species